GAUGAACGCUGGCGGCGUGCUUAACACAUGCAAGUCGAACGAUGAACCGGGUGCUUGCACUCGGGGAUUAGUGGUGAACGGGUGAGUAACACGUGAGCAACCUGCCCCUGACUCUGGGAUAAGCGCUGGAAACGGCGUCUAAUACUGGAUAUGUCCCGUCACCGCAUGGUGUGCGGGUGGAAAGAUUUUUCGGUUGGGGAUGGGCUCGCGGCCGAUCAGCUUGUUGGUGGGGUAAUGGCUCACCAAGGCGUCGACGGGUAGCCGGCCUGAGAGGGUGACCGGCCACACUGGGACUGAGACACGGCCCAGACUCCUACGGGAGGCAGCAGUGGGGAAUAUUGCACAAUGGGCGGAAGCCUGAUGCAGCAACGCCGCGUGAGGGAUGACGGCCUUCGGGUUGUAAACCUCUUUUAGCAGGGAAGAAGCGAGAGUGACGGUACCUGCAGAAAAAGCACCGGCUAACUACGUGCCAGCAGCCGCCGUAA
rnacentral:rRNA from 1 species